GGUUUUUUGAUUUUUAUUUAAGAUCAGGCCUGCCCAUUGAUUUAUAGGAAUUAAAAGGCUGCGGUAUUUUAACUGUACGAAGGUAGCAUAAUCAUUUGUCUUUUAAUUGAAGGCUAGUAUGAAUGGUUUGAUGAGAAAUUAACUUUAUUUAUUUAAUUAAUUUGAAUUUAAUUUUUUAGUUAAAAAGCUUAAAUUUUUUUAUAGGACGAGAAGACCCUAUAGAGAUUAAUUUUCUUUAUAAAAUUUUAUUUUUGGUUUAUAAAUUAUUUUUUAGAAUGGGAAAUUUUGUUGGGGUGACAGUAAAAUUUUUUUAACUUUUAUUUUUUUUUUCAUUGAUUUAUGUAUUUUUGAUCCGGAAUUUCUGAUUAAAAGAUUAAUUUACCUUAGGGAUAACAGCGUAAUUUUUUUGGAGAGUUCUUAUCAAUAAAAAAGUUUGCGA
rnacentral:rRNA from 1 species